rnacentral:rRNA from 1 species
GAUAAACGCUGGCGGCGUGCAUGAGACAUGCAAGUCGAACGAAGGAUCGGGCUUGCUCGAUCCUUAGUGGCGGACGGCUGAGUAACGCGUAGGUGACCUACCCCGAAGUGGGGAAUAACUGCCCGAAAGGGUGGCUAAUACCGCAUGUGGUCGCACGUUCAUUCGUGCGAGUAAAGCCGCAAGGCGCUUCGGGAGGGGCCUGCGUCCGAUUAGCUCGUUGGUGGGGUAAUGGCUUACCAAGGCGACGAUCGGUAGGUGGUCUGAGAGGACGAUCACCCAGACUGGGACUGAGACACGGCCCAGACUCCUACGGGAGGCAGCAGUCGGGAAUUUUGCUCAAUGGGGGAAACCCUGAAGCAGCGACGCCGCGUGAGGGAUGAAGGCCUUCGGGUUGUAAACCUCUUUUGUCAGGGACGAUGAUGACGGUACCUGGCGAAUAAGCCACGGCUAACUACGUG